rnacentral:rRNA from 1 species
AGAGUUUGAUCCUGGCUCAGAGCGAACGCUGGCGGCAGGCCUAACACAUGCAAGUCGAACGGAUCCUUCGGGAUUAGUGGCGGACGGGUGAGUAACACGUGGGAACGUGCCCUUUGGUUCGGAACAACUCAGGGGAACUUGAGCUAAUACCGGAUGUGCCCUUCGGGGGAAAGAUUUAUCGCCAUUGGAGCGGCCCGCGUCUGAUUAGCUAGUUGGUGGGGUAAAGGCCCACCAAGGCGACGAUCAGUAGCUGGUCUGAGAGGAUGAUCAGCCACAUUGGGACUGAGACACGGCCCAAACUCCUACGGGAGGCAGCAGUGGGGAAUCUUGCGCAAUGGGCGAAAGCCUGACGCAGCCAUGCCGCGUGAAUGAUGAAGGUCUUAGGAUUGUAAAAUUCUUUCACCGGGGACGAUAAUGACGGUACCCGGAGAAGAAGCCCCGGCUAACUUCGUGCCAGCAGCCGCGGUAAUACGAAGGGGGCUAGCGUUGCUCGGAAUUACUGGGCGUAAAGGGAGCGUAGGCGGACUGUUAAGUUAGAGGUGAAAGCCCAGGGCUCAACCUUGGAAUUGCCUUUGAUACUGGCAGUCUUGAGUACGGAAGAGGUAUGUGGAACUCCGAGUGUAGAGGUGAAAUUCGUAGAUAUUCGGAAGAACACCAGUGGCGAAGGCGACAUACUGGUCCGUUACU